GAUAAACGCUGGCGGCGCACAUAAGACAUGCAAGUUGAACGGACUUAAUCGAAAUAUUUAUAUUUUGAAGCGGGUAGUGGCGGACUGGUGCGUAACGCCUAAGGAACCUGCCUAUUAGAGGGGAAUAACAGUGAGAAAUCAUUGCUAAUACCGCAUAUGCCAUAGAUAUCACUUUAUAACAGUGAGAAAAUAGCAAUCCGCUAAUAGAUGGCCUUGCGUCUGUUUAGAUAGUUGGUGGGGUAACGGCCUACCAAGUCGACGAUCAGUAGCAGGUCUGAGAAGAUGAGCGGCCACAUUGGGACUGAGGUACGGCUCAGACAUCUACGGGAGGCAGCAGUAGGGAAUAUUGCGCAAGGGAGGAAACUCUGACGCAGUGACGGAGCGUAUAGGAAGAAGGUUUUCGGAUUAUAAACUAUUGUCGUUAGGGAAGAGAAAGGACGGUACCUAAGGAGGAAGCUCCGGCUAACUACGUG
rnacentral:rRNA from 1 species